rnacentral:lncRNA from 1 species
UAUGUACUAACGUCCAACACACCGCGUUUGAUUGUGAUAGCGGUCGGAGUUAUACUUUGUACUCUGCGAUUUUUUAAAAUUAGUAGCGUAGUGUUGUGACGUACAAAAAUGUGUGACGUGAAAAACGAGCAACGAUUCAUCAGUAUUCGCAAAAGUACCUACACAAGCUGUCAUUACUUUUGUCGCUUUUGGUACAAACGAUGAAAUUUGUUUUAUAAAUCGGUACAAACGUAGAACAUUUAAAUGGUAUAAUUUGUUCAGUAUCCUAUAGGUGUUAGCAUGCACCCUCACUUUAAAACAGCUGUAAUUUUGUUGUGCUUUCGGUACAAACGAUGACAUUUGCGGUACAAACCGGUACAAACGUUGUGCAAACGAUAGUUCCGGAUUUUUUUCCGAAAAACUCUAGUUGGGGAUGCUGGGGACAUGGAGCUGUAUCGUCAUCAAAUUUCUUGUGAAAUCUGGCAAAAAACCGGCCGAAAUUUUUCGCAAAUUGCAACGUGUGUUCGGUAAUGAAUGCUUAUAUCAAUACCGUGUGUGUAUGAAUGGGCUGCACGUUUUGCAUCGGGACGAGAAUCGGUGCAAGACGAUGCAAGGUCAGGUGUCCCUAUAAUCGUGUAAAAUAGGCAAAAUGUCGAACGUUUGAGAGUGUUAUUGCGGACAAAUCGACGCCUCACAAUCCGAAUGAUACAUUGAAAUUCUUAAGGGAUUGUGUCAUCGAGUGUCUCGUGUGAGACUGGAAUUAGUCAAAAAAGGUUGGGUCCUUCACCAUGACAAUGCGCCAGCUCACACAUGACUAAAAGUUUAGCAGCUUUUGACCAGUAGGAACAUUACAAGGCUCCCCCGUACAGCAAUGAUCUGGCUCUACCGGACUCUUGGCUACUUCCAAAGUUGAAGGAACCAUUAAAAAGACAUCGAUAUAGGAUUUGGAGGACAUUCAAAGUGCUGUAACGUGGGCGUUGAAGAGUUUUGAAUACUUCCAAGGGUGUUUCCAGAAAUGGGAAGAACGCUGGACUAAGUGUGUUAGACUCUGAAGAGAGUACUGUUAAGGUAUGGGUGCAUAAAUAAUUGUAAAUAAUAAAUACAUUUUUUAAAAUUAAAAAUUCUCGUUAUUUAAUUGCCACACCUUGUAUACCUAUACUUACUUAAUUAUCAAGUUUUGUAAGUCUAGGACGUAGGUAUAAUAGGAGACAAAAAUAUCAAUUCUCAAUAUGAGUAGGUACCUACCUGAGAAAAACAAAAGUAAGUAUUUAUUUAAUUACACAUCUAGAUUGUAUCUAAGGCACAACCGCACAGGGUUAGAAGGGUAGUUCGUGCAAAUAGGUAAAUACUGUGUACCAAUGUGUAAUGACUAAUGAGUAUAAGAGUCACGAGACAUUCAAUGCAUUUUAAAUGGUGAAAUUCUAACAACAACUGCCUCCAAUAUUCAUCAUAGCAAAACUUCUCUACAGUCGUAUGGACUACAACUUCUUUUUUAACCAGUAUAAUCAAAAGACUACAUUUACCUACAUCCAAUUUGUUACUUUUGCUUCAAUAUUAUUAGACUGAAACUUUUUUUCACCGAAUAGGAAGGAAAGACAUUUGAUCGCAAACAUGUCCUAUUAAGAUCUUUAAAAUCUAAUAGUAUAACUAUUACUUAGGUAAAUUUAAUAACCUCUACAAUAUGUUUAGGAAGUACCCACAUCUAAAUGUGGAUGUGGAGAAGAAUAACCAAGACAAGAUGGAUAAAGAAGAAGAAUAAUGAGUGUUGGGAGAAAUUAAAAAAAGAAAGCAAUUAAUGAAAUUGAUAACAGCCAGAAAAAUCAAACUAAUAGGUCACAUAAACUGACACUGAUAACAUGAUAACUUCAUCAAUAACAUAUUCGAAAGAAAAAUACUAGGAAAGUAAACUUGAGGAAGACCAAGAAAAAUAUACUUUGAAACAUGUAAUACAAGAUUCAAUGAAUUACUGGUUGUUCAUGAGAUAGUGUUUGUAAGGGAUAGAAAGUGAUUUAACCGACAAUGCUUGGCCCUUAGAAAUUAAUGAUGACAAUAUUUUUGAAACACUAUUUAACAUUGUUUAUGGUAUUUGGUUUGAAUUAAGUACCUAUCUACCCAUACACUUACUUGUCCAUACAGUGAUGUGCAUUUUUUACAUGAAGGGAG